rnacentral:rRNA from 1 species
GGAUGCGAUCAUACCAACACUAAAGCACCGGAUACCAUCAGAACUCUGAAGUUAAGUGUGCUUGGGCGAGAGUAGUACUAGGAUGGGUGACCUCCUGGGAAGUCCUCGUGUUGCAUUCC